ensembl:snRNA U2 U2 spliceosomal RNA
AUCACUUAUUGGCGUUUUGGCUAAGAUCAAGUGUAGUAUCUAGUCUUAUCAAUUUAAUAUCUGAUUCGUCCUCUAUCUGAGGACAAUAUUUUAAAUGGAUCCCUUUGGGACCUGGGAGUUAGA